CCUACGGGAGGCAGCAGUGAGGAAUAUUGGUCAAUGGCCGGAAGGCUGAACCAGCCAUGCCGCGUGAAUGUCAGUGCCCUAUGGGCGUUAAACUACUUUCGUGCGGGAGCAAUAAUGGUCACGUGUUGCCCUACGAGAGUACCGUACGAAUAAGCAUCGGCUAACUCCGUCCCAGCAGCCGCGGCAAUACGGGUGGUGCAAGCGUUAUCUGGAUUUAUCGGGUCUAAAGGGUGCGGAGGCUGUGAGGUAAGUCAGCGGUGAAAUGCCCCCGCUCAACGGGGUGAAGUGCCAUUGAUACUGCCAUGCUGGAGUGCGGAUGCCGUGGGAAGAAUGUGUGGUGUAGCGGUGAAAUGCGUAGAUAUC
rnacentral:rRNA from 1 species